rnacentral:lncRNA from 1 species
GGGUAAUAAAAAAAUCACAAUAUGCCCAUGUUUAACUGUAAGUUUAUUGAUCAUCAACAUUAUUAAACUUGAAGAGCCCUUGAUGACGCUCACCCUGAGAUCGUUCGUGACUAAUGACCUUUUAUAUAAGAAGUUUGAAUUCAUGUUUGUUUUCAUUGCAUCACUUGAGAAUCAACUAAACAAUUAUUUAGCCCGUCAUGAUGUUAACCCUGAGAAUGUGCUCGACUAAUGACCUUUUAUAAAAGAAGUCUACUACAGCUGAAUUCAUGUUUGUUUUCAUUGCAUCACUUGAGAAUCAACUAAACAAUUAUUUAGCCCUUGAUGACGCUCACCCUGAGAUCGUGCGUGACUAAUGACCUUUUAUAUAAGAAGUUUGAAUUCAUGUUUGUUUUCAUUGCAUCACUUGAGAAUCAACUAAACAAUUAUUUAGCCCUUGAUGACGCUCACCCUGAGAUCGUGCGUGAAUAAUGACAUUUUAUAUAAGAAGUUUGAAUUCAUGUUUGUUUUCAUUACAUCCCUUGAGAAUCAACUAAACAAUUAUUUAGCCCGUGAUGACGUUAACCCUGAGAUCGUGCGUGACUAAUGACAUUUUAUAUAAGAAGUUUGAAUUCAUGUUUGUUUUCAUUACAUCCCUUGAGAAUCAACUAAACAAUUAUUUAGCUCUUGAUGACGCUCACCCUGAGAUCGUGCGUGAAUAAUGACAUUUUAUAUAAGAAGUUUGAAUUCAUGUUUGUUUUCAUUACAUCCCUUGAGAAUCAACUAAACAAUUAUUUAGCCCUUGAUGACGCUCACCCUGAGAUCGUUCGUGACUAAUGACCUUUUAUAUAAGAAGUUUGAAUUCAUGUUUGUUUUCAUUGCAUCACUUGAGAAUCAACUAAACAAUUAUUUAGCUCUUGAUGACGCUCACCCUGAGAUCGUGCGUGAAUAAUGACAUUUUAUAUAAGAAGUUUGAAUUCAUGUUUGUUUUCAUUACAUCCCUUGAGAAUCAACUAAACAAUUAUUUAGCCCUUGAUGACGCUCACCCUGAAAUCGUGCGUGAAUAAUGACAUUUUAUAUAAGAAGUUUGAAUUCAUGUUUGUUUUCAUUACAUCCCUUGAGAAUCAACUAAACAAUUAUUUAGCCCUUGAUGACGCUCACCCUGAGAUCGUGCGUGACUAAUGACCUUUUAUAUAAGAAGUUUGAAUUCAUGUUUGUUUUCAUUGCAUCACUUGAGAAUCAACUAAAUAAUUAUUUAGCCCUUGAUGACGCUCACCCUGAGAUCGUGCGUGAAUAAUGACAUUUUAUAUAAGAAGAUUGAAUUCAUGUUUGUUUUCAUUACAUCCCUUGAGAAUCAACUAAACAAUUAUUUAGCCCUUGAUGACGCUCACCCUGAGAUCGUGCGUGACUAAUGACCUUUUAUAUAAGAAGUUUGAAUUCAUGUUUGUUUUCAUUGCAUCACUUGAGAAUCAACUAAACAAUUAUUUGGCCCGUGAUGACAUAAACCCUGAGAUCGUGCGUGACUAAUGACCUUUUAUAUAAGAAGUUUGAAUUCAUGUUUGUUUUCAUUGCAUCCCUUGAGAAUCAACUAAACAAUUAUUUCCUGUGAUAUCAGUUAACCCUGAGAACGUGCACGACUAAUGACCUUUUAUAUAAGAAGUCUACAACAGCUGAGUUCAUGUUUGAUUUCAUUGCAUCACUUGAGAAACAACUAAACUAUUAUUUGUAAGUCACAUUAUUUAUAACUCUCGUGAUAUAUUUACCAUCGAUAGUGUUAUCCAGUAGAUACCACGUGGAGGUUGGCUGUGUGUACUCCCUCAAAAUGUUUUUUUUUUAUAAAAUUUAAUCACUUAACAUAGUUUUGAAUUUUAUUAUUUAUUAUAUAUUUUAUUAUUAAAUAUUAUUUAUUAUUUAUACUUUGUUUUUUAUAUGGUUUACCUGUAUCAGUUAUACUGGUUUUGCCUGGUAAAUAUUGAAAGAAUUUGGGAUAAAUAUUUUGCAACAUUUUUAUGGA